GUGAUACUACAGGCAACUUGGAUCAGACCAGAAACAGGAAGUGAUGGCAUUUUGGGCUUAUUGAUACUUAUAUCCAUUAGUUGGUCCAACCUCAGAGUGACUAUGGGACUGAAUUUCGGUUGCAGUCAACUGUCCUGCUCUGAGUGAUGUGAUUCCCACUCAUUACAUGAUAUAAAGCUCACCGGCCAGAACCUACCAGCUCUCACCCCUAUACCCAGCCUCCUUCAAAGACCCCGAGGAAGACUAUGAAAAAGUAAAUGGCCCAAGAACAGAAUCCUCAGCUUCAUUUCAUCCCAUCAAGUUAUUGUCCAGUUAACAGAUAAAGAAAGCAAGAAAGAAAAGGCUCCAUUUAUUUGCACACAACUGUUGAACUACAAAUCGCCCCAUCAGAUCAUAAAGUAACCAGCAAGAACUUUUCCACAUGAAAUCUUAUCUCCUGGGGUUAAGUCAUUUCUGAAUUUAGCAAAUCCUUCAGCCAGUGAUUGCAGGAAGUCUUUCUAUUAGCAAAAGCCCAAAUGAAAUAUGGAUAUCCAUGCAUUACCUAAAGAGCCUGACUGUAAGAGCAGAAGGAUUAGAAGUGAAAACAUGACGGGUGGAGACGGUGCAAUCCAAACGGGGAACGAGGGGAGAUUGAUGGAGCGCCCUGCAUUAUGAGACAGAUGACUUAUCGAGCUGUCACUGGCAGUGUUUUAAGACAGAAUUAUAUGGGAGAUGAGAAAGAUUUUUACCAAAUUAAUGAAAAAUCAAUCAAGCCUCAGAAAUCCAUUAAUGGUCAUAAUGCACUGGUUACAGAUAGAUAUCCAAUACUGGCUGUUAAAUACAACUCUGGGAUGGCAGCACACAGGAAAUACCUCGUUCAUUAAGCUGCAUGUAUUUACUUUUUAGUGGGACACCAAUAGCCUGAGCAUCCGAUCAAUCAAUCCCACCUGCUGAGCUGGAAAUGCUGAACUUUGCUCAUUGUCAGUGCAAGAAAUGGAUAGACCUCAUGAGCCGCCAUUCCUCCUAGACAGUUACUAGAAAACAAGGCCUCAAAGCAUGAACGUCAAAGGUUCUGCUGCAUCUGUGGGCCUUUAUCACCUUCUCUAUUGGUUAACUGGGUCUAACAAUCAAAAAAGGAUAGUACAGGGGGUUCUACAGAAGGAACAGUCUCCUAUCUCUGAGAUUACACUAUGGAACCCACUAAGAGGCCAAUCACUAAGGGCUCAAUGAAGUUAUCUGGCUGCACAUCAAGGAACAAUUUGAUUUUAGCCAAGAAAGGCCAAGAUUCUAUGACUUGAUAGACUCAAUAAAAAUAACAAAUUCUCCACUGGGAAGUCCUUCAUAGAUAUGAGUUGAAGCAGCCACAUAAACAGAGUUUUUCUCCUAAUUGCUAGGAUAUUCAUUUGUCUUAAUCACAAGAAUAUGGAAGCAAGAGUGGAAGGAAAGUUGGAAUGCUGGCUACUAUCCAUCAAUGAAAGUCCUCACUACCUCUUCUAGAUGGUUCCUUCUUCUAGAGCAAAUGUUACUGUUCUCUGUAUCUUUACAAUAGGACAAUAGGCCAUAUUUCCAUUGGUUCCUCCUGAAAAGAGAUGAUGUACGGGGUGCAUUAAGCAUUAAAUAAAGAAAGUGCCAUGAUGAGA